UACGACCACAUCACGUUGAAACACCGGCUCCAGUGCGAAUACCAAAGUUAAGCAGCGUUGAGUCUGGUUAGUAAAUAGAUGGGUGACCGCUUGGGAAUACCAAGUAUUGGAA